rnacentral:rRNA from 1 species
UGGUCAAGUUAUUAAGGGUGCAGGGCGGAUGCCUUGGCACUAGGAGCCGAUGAAGGACGUGAUAAGCUGCGAUAAGCUUCGGGGAGUUGCACGUAAACUUUGAUCCGAAGAUUUCCGAAUGAGGAAACUCACUUAGAGUAAUGUCUAAGUAUCAUUAAGUGAAUACAUAGCGUAAUGAGGGGAACUCAGGGAACUGAAACAUCUAAGUACCUGAAGGAAGAGAAAGAAAUUCGAUUCCGUAAGUAGCGGCGAGCGAACGCGGAUUAGCCCAAAC